CACCUUAACACAACAUGUGGCAAUUAUUCUACUUUAAAAUGAGAAUCUGUUGCAAUAAGAACUUAUAAUUAGGUUUAGUGUAUCUUUUGACAUGGUUGAGAAAUAGAAUUAUGUUUGGGGAUUUUAUAAUGUGAACAUUAUAUCAUAAUCAAUAUUUUCACUCUUAAAUAUUAAUACUCAGGACUCUCCCAUUGAUAGGUAAAAUUAUCUCUGUCUGCA